CACUCUUAUGACAUCAUCUAACCUGCAAAAACUUUCAAAGACCCUACUAUGCUGCCUGUGAUAGCUCCACACUGGGAGCUGGUGUGGUAAUGAAUUUAACAGUUUUGCAGCAUCUUUCUUCUAGGUUUGGAGAGCAAGGCUCUAAUGAGCAUUUGGAGAUCAAAGAAAUAACUCCAGGUCUCUAUGGCUGGUAUUGAGAUUAAAGGUGUGUGUCUCCAUGCUGGCUGUGUCCUUGAACACACAGAGAUUCUGCCUGUCUUGUGAUGAGGAUUAAGAGCAUUGCUACCACUGCCAGACUUCUGCUAAAUGGUUUGCUAUUAGCUCUGACCCCCAGAAAACUGUGAAGCACAUAAAACAAUCUACAGGAAGUGGAAAAGAUUUCUUCUCAUUACUGGCCUUGAGGCAAUUUUUUAAGCUGCCAUAAACUGACAAACAGACAUGAUGGAUAUCAUUAUAAAAUACACUGGGUUGGAAAAUGGAGCACGGAAUGAAAUGGUCCACAUCAAAGGAUGUGCCUUACAGGAACUACACAUGGUAAAUAGCUACAGGACCUGUGCGUUGAUGAGGCCUGCCUUCCUGCAAAAUGUCAGCUGUUAGGGCUCUAGACUUUACUACACACUUCGGGUUUGACGCCUCGCGAUGAUCUACAAGUCGCUGUUUUAGCUGCCUGUUUCCUCGCUGGAAGGAGAGACCCAACAAAAGCAACCCAGGCAAGGAAAGUUUUGUUUCAGUUUGAAAGUAUAGGCCAUCAUGGGAGAGCGGUCAUGGUGACAGGAGCUCGGGGCAGCUGCUCACAUCGCAUCUGCAGCUAGACAGCGAAGACAGAUGGCUGCCCAUGUUCAGCUUUUCUUCCUUUUUAUGGAGUCCAGUGUCCAUCUGUGGAGUGACUCUGCCUCCA